GGGGCAGCAUGUCCCGCAGCAAUGCGGGAUGAUGGCGACCGGCAAACGGGUGCGGAACACGUACACAACCUUCCUUUUAGUGGAGAAUAGCCCAGGGAAACUUGGAUUAAUACUCCGUAACAUAUAGAAGUGGCAUCACUUUUAUAUUAUAGCAGCAAUGCGCUAGAAGAUGGGUGUGCGGCUGAUUAGAUAGUUGGCGGGGUAACGGCCCACCAAGUCGACGAUCAGUAACUGGUGUGAGAGCACGACCAGUCACACGGGCACUGAGACACGGGCCCGACUCCUACGGGAGGCAGCAGUAAGGAAUAUUGGUCAAUGGACGCAAGUCUGAACCAGCCAUGCCGCGUGGAGGAUGAAGGCCCUCUGGAUUGUAAACUUCUUUUAUUUGGGAAGAAACCCAUCUUUUCUAAGAUGGUUGACGGUACCAGAUGAAUAAGCACCGGCUAACUCCGUGCCAGCAGCCGCGGUAAUACGGAGGGUGCAAGCGUUAUCCGGAUUCACUGGGUUUAAAGGGUGCGUAGGUGGGCAAGUAAGUCAGUGGUGAAAUCUCCGGGCUUAACCCGGAAACUGCCAUUGAUACUAUUUGUCUUGAAUACUGUGGAGGUCAGCGGAAUAUGUCAUGUAGCGGUGAAAUGCUUAGAUAUGACAUAGAACACCAAUUGCGAAGGCAGCUGGCUACACAAAUAUUGACACUGAGGCACGAAAGCGUGGGGAUCAAACAGGAUUAGAUACCCUGGUAGUCCACGCCCUAAACUAUGGAUACUCGACAUUUGCGAUAAACUGCAAGUGUCUGAGCGAAAGCAUUAAGUAUCCCACCUGGGAAGUACGAUCGCAAGAUUGAAACUCAAAGGAAUUGGC
rnacentral:rRNA from 1 species